GAUGAGAAUAAUAAAGAUUAACCACUGCAAAAAAUCCUGCAACAUAUGCUCAGGAAAAGGUAGUUCUAAACGUUUCUAUAAUUUGCUUUAGACAUUAUUGAAAAUGUAAAAAGUUGGAAUUAUAGAAAAACCGUUUUUUGUGUGUAUUCUCUCAAGAAGACUGCAGAUUAAGUUACAGUAUUAUCUUCUCUUUCUAUCUACAACCCAUUUUUUGCAAAAAACUUGCAAACGAAGGAUUUUGUCAAGACUUCCGAACUGAUACAUAUAUGAUGGAUAACUGCAGAAAAACAUGCAAACUUUGUACAAAAGGUUUAAACCUCACAGAAAACCAGAUAAUUCUGAGUAAAGGAACAGCAAAAGGCAAAGGCAAAAGAAAUGGCAACGGAAAAGAUGAUCCAAUGAAAAGACGCAAGUGUUGAUGAACAGUGUUGAUGCACAAAUGAAAGCUUCAUCACUCUUCCAGAGAGCAGGGAGUUAACUGUAUUAAUCCAAAGUGAAUGAACACACACGCAUAAAGCACGUAAUCAGAAGUGUGAUUGAAAAUGAAUUUACUUUUUAACAUUUUGCAAACUUUGUAACCUUAAUUAGUCAUCAUAUCAACAUGUAGCAA